CUGCAGCUCAAGUGGUAGCCGCUAUUAUUGGGCCUAAAACGUUCGUAGCCGGUUUAGUAAAUGCUUGGGUAAAUUGUGUCGCUUAACGAUACGAAUACCGGGUAGACUGCUAAACUUGGGACCGGGAGAGGCUAGAGGUACUCCUGGGGUAGAGGUGAAAUUCUGUAAUCCUGGGGGGACCACCAGUGGCGAAGGCGUCUAGCUAGAACGGGUCUGACGGUGAGGGACGAAGCCCUGGGGCGCAAACCGGAUUAGAGACCCGAGUAGUCC
rnacentral:rRNA from 1 species